AACAAACGCUGGCGGCGUGCCUAACACAUGCAAGUCGUACGAGAAAGGGUCCUUCGGGGCCUGAGUAAAGUGGCGCACGGGUGAGUAACGCGUGGAUAAUCUGCCCUUCAGUUGGGAAUAACUCAUCGAAAGGUGGGCUAAUACCGAAUAAUGCUGUGAGACCUCGGUUGAUCAGCCAAAGAGAGCCUCUGCUUGCAAGCCCUCGCUGAAGGAUGAGUCCGCGUACCAUUAGCUAGUUGGUAGGGUAAUGGCCUACCAAGGCGACGAUGGUUAGCUGGUCUGAGAGGAUGAUCAGCAACACUGGAACUGAGACACGGUCCAGACUCCUACGGGAGGCAGCAGUGAGGAAUCGUGCGCAAUGGGGGCAACCCUGACGCAGCAACGCCGCGUGAGUGAGGAAGGUCUUCGGAUCGUAAAGCUCUGUCGGAUGGAAAGAACCGCAUAGGGGUAAACAGCCCCUGUGUCUGACGGUACCAUCAAAGGAAGCACCGGCUAACUCCGUGCCAGCCGCCGCGGUAACAC
rnacentral:rRNA from 1 species